rnacentral:rRNA from 1 species
UGUGAAAGCCCGGGGCUUAACCCCGGGUCUGCAGUGGGUACGGGCAGGCUAGAGUGUGGUAGGGGAGACUGGAAUUCCUGGUGUAGCGGUGGAAUGCGCAGAUAUCAGGAGGAACACCGAUGGCGAAGGCAGGUCUCUGGGCCACUACUGACGCUGAGAAGCGAAAGCGUGGGGAGCGAACAGGAUUAGAUACCCUGGUAGUCCACGCCGUAAACGUUGGGCGCUAGGUGUGGGUCCCAUUCCACGGGAUCCGUGCCGCAGCUAACGCAUUAAGCGCCCCGCCUGGGGAGUACGGCCGCAAGGCUAAAACUCAAAGGAAUUGACGGGGGCCCGCACAAGCGGCGGAGCAUGCGGAUUAAUUCGAUGCAACGCGAAGACACCUUACCAAGGCUUGACAUGUACCGGACGCUUCCAGAGAUGGUUGUUCCCUUUGGGUCGGUACACAGGUGGUGCAUGGUUGUCGUCAGCUCGUGUCGUGAGAUGUUGGGUUAAGUCCCGCAACGAGCGCAACCCUCGUUCUAUGUUGCCAGCGGUUCGGCCGGGGACUCAUAGGAGACUGCCGGGGUCAACUCGGAGGAAGGUGGGGAUGACGUCAAAUCAUCAUGCCCCUUACGUCUUGGGCUUCACGCAUGCUACAAUGGCCGGCACAGAGGGCUGCGAUACCGCAAGGUGGAGCGAAUCCCAAAAAACCGGUCUCAGUUCGGAUUGGGGUCUGCAACUCGACCCCAUGAAGUCGGAGUCGCUAGUAAUCGCAGAUCAGCAACGCUGCGGUGAAUACGUUCCCGGGCCUUGCACACACCGCCCGUC